ACCAAUAAAUGUUAGCAAAGAGACUACUUGUUUCGUCUCAAGCGAUCUGAGUAUAUUACUGCAACGAGACGACUCAUCCAGUCUCGCACAGUCUGGCGAAAUAAUAUUCGAAAAGAGACUACUCGUUUGGUCUACGGUAUUCUCAUUUGUUCAUCCGAAAUGAUUUUAGCAAAAACAAAAAUAUUUUGAGACCUAAUUGAGAAUUCCAGCAAUUUUGAGACUGGAAUUAGACCGUUGAGAAUACGUAUUUCAUGGUCUCGUGAGACCGACAUUUUCACUGGGGACAUAACCAGGUCCAACG